rnacentral:misc_RNA from 1 species
UUUCCGUAGGUGAACCUGCGGAAGGAUCAUUAAUGGGAAAUCAAAUCAAAUCAAAACAAAUGUUCUGUUGCACUGGGUGUGCUGUGUGGUGGUGGUGUGAGACAUGGAGAUUCAAUCAUUGGGGAUUCAAUCAUUGGAGAUUCAAUCAUUGGAGAUUCAAUCAUUGGAGAUUCAAUCAUUGGAGAUUCAAUCAUUCAAUCUCAAUCAUUGGAGAUUCAAUCAUUCAAUCUCAAUCAUUCAAUCUCAAUCAUUCAAUCUCAAUCAUCGCCACACAACACAACUAUCUAUCACACUCGAUCAACAACAACACACUCACACACAACAGCAAACAACUUUUAACAACGGAUCUCUUGGCUCUU